GAGAGCAUGUCCCACGUACCCACUGCAAGCAGGGAGAGGUUUGUGCCUUCUACCUGUCCAGCUCCCAGCCCUCCUGAAACCAGUGUAAGUUUUCUGUUCCUUUGCAUGGUUAUUUCUAUCCCUGUGCUAGUUCAUGCUCUGGUAUUUUCCCACCUUUGCUCCUCUGCCUGGCAGCCUCACCUUGGGUCAGUGCUCGGUUCCCUGCAGCAGUGUGUGGUGACUUUGGCAGCGCUGCCCAAUUCCUUGUGGCCUGUGGCUGCUCCCACACCCAGGGGAGUGUGUCGUACCCUGGGGACAUACACUGGAACACCCAGAAAGCAAAGCCAGGCAAAUUAUGGCUGAGAGAUUUGGGGUUGUUCAGCCUGGGGAAGAGAAGGCUCCAGGGAGACCUUAUUGUGGCCUUUCAGUACUUAAAAGGGCCUAUAAGAAAGAUGGGGAGAGACGUUUGAGCAGGGCCUGUUGCCACAGGACAAGCAGUGAUGGGUUUAAACUUAAAGAGGGAGAUUCAGGUUGAAUGUGAGGAAGAAAUUCUUUACAAUGAGGGUGGGAAAACCCUGGCACAGCUUGCCCAGAGGUGGUGGGUGCCCCAUCCCUGGAGACAUUCCAGGCCAGGCUGGAUGUGGUUCUGGACAACCUGGUCUAGUGGAAGAUGUCCCUGCUCGUUGCAGGGGGGUUGGACCGGAUGAGCUCUGAAAGUCCUUCCCAACCCAGACCAUUCAAUGAUUUUAAAUGUCAUUAUGUCUGUUGGCUCCCUUCAUAGGAGUUCAAGGGCUCUCCAUCUGUUCUUCAGCUCACAUUCCUGAUCUGUGCUAAUAGCUAACCUGGGCUGUACCUGGCUGCCACCUCCAGCCAGCUCUGGAGGCUUCCCUUGGAUUUGCAAACUGAUUUAGGGCUUCCCAGGGGACCACAGCUGCAGCACCCUCGGUGUCCACAGCAUUCCCCAGCCCUCAGCCUUCUGUGUGCUCUUACAUCUUUUCAAGGCACUGCAAUUGCAAGGGAUGGCCUUGGUGAUACCAGCCUGCCCCAGGAGCCCUGAUUUACCCGGGAGUGUUGUGAACCCCACCCAGCCUGUGAUCACUUCAACAAGAUGCUCAGGAAAAACCAGCUAUUGCCUUCCCCGAUUGCCUCCUUCACAUGAGUCUCCAGGCUCAGCAGUGGUGCCGCCUGUCACCGUGAUGGCUUUGGUGACCCAGUGACAACCAGGGGAAGGGGGCAGAGAGCUGGGGCUGGGCCCACCUCUCCAAGCUGCCACAGCCCUGGUGAGGGGCUCCCACUGGAAACAGCCCUCUCUGUCCCUGGGGUCCCUCCAGGCUCCCAAUUGGAAAGGUCACCUCUCUUUGUGGGGUGAUGGCUUCACCAUCUACCAAAUCAAGAUGUUUCAGGUCCUUCGGGGUAUGUGCUCAACAAGGGAAUAAGCAAAUAGUGGAGAUGGGGAGAGAAGGCAGCCGUUGGGACUGUGAGAGCUCCAGCUUUGGGCAGGCAGGCCUGUGCCAGAACCCCACCCCAGGCUCUGGGCUGCUGCUCACUACACAUAGGAAGCUGGAAGAGACACGGGAUCCUUUUUCAGAAUGAAUGGAGGCAUUUAUAGGCGGACAAGAGGAUAGGGAACCAAUAAACUCUAAAUCCUAUUUUUUGUAGCCUUUGGCCUGAAGUAGCUAACUGGAAAAACCAGCAGCAGGAAGCUGGGUACCUCACCUUGGGAAGCCAGAUGUUAUGGGAGUGCUGGGCGGCGAUGGCACAGAGCACACACGGAUGUCUGCUGGUGUGGGCAGCGUUGAGCACAUGGAUGCACCGUGAUGGCUUGUCUGGAUCCCCAGAAGACUGCACAGUAAGGAAAGGUGCUGAAUUCCUCAUGUCAUUCAUCUUCCCUCUCCCUUUGGAGGCUAUUCUUAGAGAUGCCGGUGGUUUAGGAAUUCAAAGGGACACACUUUUUCUCUUCAAGAUCUUCAAAGAUUUCCUGUAGCCAUAUGUCCAGAGAGGAAAGAAAACCAAGCUGAAACCUGCCUGGCAGUCUGCUCUCCCAGUGCACUGCCUUGCUUCAAAAUGCACUGCAAGGCU